AGAACGAACGCUGGCGGCGUGGAUAAGACAUGCAAGUCGAACGCGAAUUAUGCUGCAGCAAUGCAGUGUGGUUCGAGUGGCGCAAGGGUGCGUAACACGUGGGUAAUUUGCCGUGAAGACGGGGAUAAUUCCGAGAAAUCGGGACUAAUACCGGAUGUGGAUCCUGGGAGGCAUCUCAAUGGGAUCUAAAGUUGGGGACCGCAAGGCCUGACGCUUUACGAUAAGCCCGCGGCCUAUCAGCUAGUUGGUGAGGUAACGGCUCACCAAGGCUAAGGACGGGUAGCUGGUCUGAGAGGACGACCAGCCACACUGGAACUGAGACACGGUCCAGACCACCGUACGGGUGCAGCAGUCGAGUAA
rnacentral:rRNA from 1 species